UCUAGGGGCCUGACGCACAUUCCAGGUCGACUCCCACAGCUGCACAGCACCUAGCGUUGCCUGAGGAAGCCUAAGACUACGACUAAGCAGCCCGAGACGCUAGCGGUAGCCGCCCCCCUCACAACUAGGUCGCACCAAGCCUGUGCUUAGCUGGCUCCUUGCCCGAACAUUCGUGGCCAACUCUGACUCCACAGCCUGGUUGCAUCAAGGCACCAGGGCUCGUUUGGCGUGUGCUGUGUCUUGCGGUCACAACCCGUGGCUGACUGCAGCAUACUUGUAACGGUUGAGUGCAAAUUCCCCUUCGCGGGUUGCCCCUUCCCCUUCCCCUGCGACCGACGCGUGCGGACCGGACUGGACCUAAGCCCUUCGCCAUAGUGCGCGGCCUCUAGUGUGUCAGGCUUCCCCCGUCACCCCGGCGCCUACAGUCUCCCUUCUCUGGUCUCCCUUCGAGAUUGCAACAUCCUACUGUGAUCCAGCCUCUGCCUCCCUUCUCCCUCCACCGGUUUCCCUUCGAGAUUGCGACCGACUACCGCUCCCGGCUCCUGCUUUCUUCUGCCAGCCAUCUGGUCUGCAUACGGUAUCCUCCAGCCUUGGGUGCAAGCAGCUCGCAUCUGUUGUACCGACUUGCCUGCCUGUGCCUGCAGUCUGUAGCACUCGCAUAGGAUUGCUUGCUUGUAAGCGCACAAACCUGUUGUACAGACUUGCUUGCCUGGGAGCUUAGCUUGCUCAGCUCAGCCGGGUUGCGCAUCAGCAGCGCGUACGACUCCAGCGGGUACUCAGCCUUAUAGGGUAGUCUCGCUCCUCUCUCCUAUCCAAAACCUCUGGCGUUCUACACGCCCUAACAACUAUGCCCAGGCUCCACCUGAGGCUACGGCUUCUAUCCCCUCUUUCUCUCGUGCAGGUCCGGCCAGCCGGUCGCCAAGUCUCUCUCCCUUCUCUCUCUCCCUAUCCCUUUCCUUUACAGGUUCCCCAGCUCUCCUUGUACAUACGACUGAAUCAUCUCUCGACCACACCUCUGGUAUCUCCGACUAUUGCAGUGAUCGCCGCAGGCGCAUCUUGAUCACCCCGCAAGUGCCCAGGACAGCGGCUGGUAUACAGGGUCGGGCGUGGCGGCCGUCCAGCCUCUCCACGCUCCGUGCUCAUACCCUGGGAAGGUCAAAGCGGUGCAGGCCUGUCGUCAUACAGCUGCAUCGUGGCCAGUGCCUCAGUGACAGCCCGCGUUACAGCGCAAAAGUUUUUAUAGUUCCCGGUUUUUUUACGGGUGCUGCGCUUUUAGUGGGGGGAGUUGCGGGAAAUUGUCCUGAGCUCCUCUGCGUCCCCUUACCGUCAUUCCCAGCUUUCCUGGCUACGCCCGGAUUUAUCCGUCUACUGCGACAGCUAAAAUGGUUGACUCCGACGCCGAAUCUUCUUCAUCUGCGUCAAGCCGGCGUUCGAGCCGUUCUACCCAACUCAGGAAGGGCAUUUCGCCCUCUGCUCUUAAUGCUGUUCCCACGUUCAACCCCUCCUCUGAUGACCCGACUGAUUGGAUCGAUUCUAUUGAAAGGGUUGGACAGGUGUUUGGUUGGGACGAUCCCACCAAACUAGCCGUUGCCCGCUGCCGCCUGCUACACUCCGCCAGGGUUUGGGACUCUGCUGGUAAGGACAUCGAUUCCUGGCCGAAGUUCAGUCAAGCCUUCCUCGACCGUUUUGCCCUACGAGAAACAGAAAUCUAUGGCCAACUGGCAUCCUGCCGCCAGGGCCUACGCGAGUCAGUACGUGAUUAUUCCGACCGUUUCCGCCAUCUUCUGGCCCGUCUUGAUAUCAGGCCUGGCCGCGAUUACAUGUACCACUACCUGCGUGGGCUUCACCCCCGCACCUAUCGCAAGGUUCACCUCUUGCGCCCUCAAACUCUGGAAGAUGCGAUUGACGGCGCCAUCUACGUCAGCGAAGUUGAAGAUUGGGACGACGCCAGCACAGGGCGCAGCGCCCCGGCACCUCCCGAACGCAGGGCAGCGCUCGUAUCUUCCUUCGUUCGGAACGAAAUUUGCCCAAAAAGGCCUCUGGCGGACGAAAUGUUUUUGAUCUUGACUUGGAAUCUCGGCCAAAACGCACGGGAUCUUGGGGGGUCUUUCGGCAAACAGACGAAGACAUUUUUGGGAUUUCGGCCACUUUUGGCCAAGGACAGGGGGUUCCAGCGGCUACUCCACGGCCGAAAACUGCGUCGCAUAUGGUAAGAAGGCUCAAAGGGCUGUAUCUAUGGGUGUUGACGGCGGGAGACAGGGGUUCCCCUGGCGGGAGAGUGAGGUUGGGUCGGCGGGAAGCAGGGGAGGAGUGGGCGUGUCGUGUCGGUGUCGACAUCGUGCGGGUCGGGGGCGGAGCCCCCGGAAUAAUUUGGGGGGUGAACGAAGCGGCGGCAGCCUGUUUCGUCAACUAAACGAAGCCAUUUUAAGGAAUUCGGCCACUGACGCCGCCCCUGCCUUCGUAAGAUACGAGCGCUGACGCAGGGUGCGGUUUAAUGAACAACCGCCAAACACCCGCAGCCUACCCUCUCCGGCACCCCCCACGCCUCCUGAGACUCGCCAUGACCGCCACCGUCCACUUUCCUCCUCCCUCUCCCGCCGUGAUGACAGCGUCGUACGCCCCCGUGAUGAGAAGUACUCCUCCCGCGACAGAACCCGUGAAGACCGACUAGACCGGUAUACUGACCGUUCGCGCACGCCGCCGCGGUCCGCCUCUCCCCCAGCCCCAGCUCCUGACUCCUUUGAGCGUGAGCUGGAGGCUCUGCAGUCUAAGCUCGCCAAGAUGACGUUGGCCUACCGUCACGGCCAUGAUUUGUCCACCAAUAUGUAUGAACGUGAGGAGGAGGCUGCUGUGCCUGCAUACCUCUCCCACCGCUACGCUAGUGACUCCGACUCCAGGACCGAAGAUGGCAGGGAGUCAGAGCUGUACUCCAAUGAACACGCCGUCUUCACCACCAAGCGUAUCAGCGAUCCCGAACCCGUACGCUUGCCCAACAGGCGUGCGCCCGCAGACCCCGACGCCCAACCUAUGGAGAUCAACAACCGGCCGCCGCCACGCCGCGUCAGUACUACCCGUGCCCCGUCCAAGGCCCCUGCCGACACGCCAGCCCCCUCAACUCACCGUGCCGCGGACCCUGGGGUGCCCAUAGAUACCUCUCCCGGUUCUGCCGUCAGCAGGCCAGCCAUGCCUUCCCCCGCGCAUAAUGAAUGCAGUAACAGGGGCGACACGAUUUCCGCUGGCCAUCGUGGCGUUGGCCGCGCAACCCGUCGUCCUGGUGGUGGGACUACCCGUGCCAAAAACACCCCGGAAACACCGUCUUCAACUCCUCCUCAGCAGCGACUGCCACCUGCGGCGGUCCCUCUCAACCCGGCUACGGCCGAGCCAAGCCCGCCGCCAGUCUCUUGCACCACCUUCUUGGCCUCUCGUUCUCAAGACUUAACUGCUUCGGACCCUAUGCCCGUCCCGGAUGCGCACACCGCACGGUGGGAUUCUCUGCCUCUCUACAACCUGGACAGCCGUCUCCCCAUGUUUUCAGUGUGCCGGGCUACGGUCACACUAACCAACGCCCGUGGAGAGAAAGAGAGCAUUAGGGCAGUGGUUGACACUGGCGCCUCUUACAGUGUGGUGCCUAUGCAUAUCGUGCGCCGCCUGAACCUGCUGCCUUACGUCGCUGAAUCACGCGCCAUGUUCCUGAAUGCCGAUGGUGUCAAGAAGAAGGCAACUGGUCAAAUACGUGGCAUGCAGGUGGGGCUGGGCCAAGAUCUGAUGUACACCAUGGACAUGUACGUGUCCCAAGCCCAAAACUACGAGUUACUGCUGGGAAUGGACUUCCUGUACCCCAUCAAGGCUUCCGUGGAUUUCGGCGGCGGCCAGCGGCUGCUGUACACCAACGACUACAACCAACGCAGUCACGGGCCCAUUACUUGUGUGGUCGUCGAGGAGCCUCCUUCCCUCAAGACCUCCCUGCCCGGGCUGCAAGGAAUGCCAUCUAUCGGAUACAAUUCUGGGACCUACGGCCACGAACAGGAUGCAAUCCCCGCCCUGCAAUCCGUCAGCCAUGUGGGCCACCUGAAAGAGAAGGCAGGUAAGGCGCUGUAUACCCUCAAGAGCGCCGCUGUGGAGGCUGCCUCUACUGCCUCGUCCGGCAUGAAACAGCUACUCCAACACCUGCCGCGUACCGCUGAGGUGCGCUCUUGGUUGUUUACCACCUGGGAAAACGGGUUGACAAAAUGGACAGCCAAGGAGUACGGCACCGUGUCAAACCAGAUUACACACGACGCCGCCGUCGUAGCAAGCACCCCUAAAACGCCCCUUUCUUCCGACAGCCCUUCAAACAAGACUGCUACCGUUAAGAACCUGCCUCCCCUCGGGACGCCGCCCUUGGCGCCCGUGCGCAUCCCGCGCGCUAACCUUUCUGCCGGGCCAAGCCCUGGCUCACCUCCAACUUCUCCUGGCCUCCUCUGCGAGUCACCCGCACACUUCUCCUGCGACAUCUCUACCAACGAGGCGACGACUACAGAAUUUCCAGACAACCCGAGCGUGUCCCCCGACGGCGCGCCUGAGCCCCCGCCGACUGCCGACGAAAGUGCAGCGGCUGAGGCCUUCAUUGCCUUGGCCCAUCAGGCUGGCGCGUUCCUGCCACCUGAAGCUUCCAACGGCGCACGUUCCCCUCCUCCUUCUCGCUCCGCCUCUGCGUCUCUGAACGUGUUGGAAGGCGUUAAAGCCACAUGUCAUCAACGUGUGGGAGACGAGCUACCUGAGCUCUCGGACGGCGCCGCACCCACCACCGCCGCUCCUCCGCCGUCUUCCCGCGCUCCAAGCAAGAUGUCCCCAACCGAGCAGGAGCACAUUCGUGCAGCCGCCUUACCGCCGGUGCGUGCAAGCCCACUUAUGACCUGCGAUCAGCUGGCCCCUGCAGCAUCCCAGCAGGAGCCAGGAGUUGUGCCCCUCUUCCUUAGCGACGGGCACACUGAUGCCCGCCGUAUGGAUUUUAUCUCAGACUCCCCAGCUCGGCCUCCUCUUCCACCGCCCCAGCAGGCUGCCAACACGCCCAAGGAAGCUACGUCGUCUGAGAAAUUUACACCCGAACCGGAAUCAGCGCCUGAACCUGAGCCUGGCCCUGAACCUGAUGAGCCUCAACCCGAACCCCGCACCCUGCCACGACGCGUAAAGGUGCGCUCUGAGGCUGCACAGCACCCUCAGUCUGCCGCGGCGGCGGCCCUUGCCACCGCUGCCGCCACUCCACCUCCAGCACCCCAGCCAACCGUAACGGAAGCCCCUACAAGGCCUGUGUCGGUGUUGCCGCCGCGCCGCGUCAAUGCUUCCCAACUACCCCGUACAGAUUUGUCAACGCCGUCCGUCAGCCAAGAGAUUGCGACCGAAGUGCCCAACGCUGACCCGACCUUGUUCCCUAGUGGAGACGGACGUGAUCCAAGCCAAGCUUCCGUACACCCCAAGCCGGCUCUCGAGGAGUCGCCCGCCAUGCGCACCCAUAUGCCCAACAUGUUUGAUUUCGAGGUGAGACCCCCUGACGCUGACUGCUGUGACAGCGAACCUAUGGAAGGCCUACAGUGUGACAUCUGCGGCAAAGGAGAGCCGCCCCCAAACAACCUGCUUAUCUGCGACAGACCUGCUAAACGCCCUGCCCAUGGCUGUGACCCGUACUGCCUGUGGCCGCGGGUACUUAACGUACCAUAUGGCUCUUGGUAUUGUCCCCAACACCUGAUGGAAACGGCCAACCUCUCUGGAGGGCGUGGUGCGGACAAGGGCCCGGUACCGGCCUUACCCGGUCGUGCGUCGAGCAUAGGCCCGGUACGGGCCGCCGCCACGGCGGAAGCUGUUGCGGCCGCUGCGGCUGCCGCUGCAACUCCGCAAAACAACGGCGCUGUCAUCCCGACCGCCACCACCGUCACCAAGACUCAAGGGCGCCUGCGCGCCACCGCACAUGGAAUGGAGAAGCCCAAGGAUAAACAGUUACGCGAUCUGCCCCCCGCUACCAAAAUGUCCGUCCAACGGCCCCUACGUGUACAGAAGCUGGCAACUGCCACUGUACCUCCUAUCGUCCUGCAUCGACCCAAAACGGACCGCAACCGAAGGCCCUCCCACCAGUUUCCCCUACCAAGGUAUCUUAUUUUACUGCUGGCGCACGAGCCCAAUCAAAUGGAGGGGCCUGCGUCUCCUACAGCCGCUAGGCAACGGUGGUCAACAAUCGCCUGCUGCACGGCUCAAGAUCAUUUCAACGCGGUUUAUGUAGUGCAAGCCGACCUGCCGCCGCAAGCAAGCAGAAAUGCCUGGGUCAGCACGCUACUGGGUCAUGCAAGGGACGCAUGACUGAAGGCCCGGUAGCGACAGCUGUGGCGACAACAGAUGUACUUCGUAAAUCCGCGGCUGACCCAUCUUUGCUACUGCAGAGGAAAGAGUAGAAAGUGCCGCACUGCAACAGGUUCCUGCUUUCCCCAAUCCCUGCCAGUGCGUGCGUGUGUGUGUGUCCCAUGCCCCUCGGGUAGCCCAGGUUCGCCAACACCGCCCCUUCCACCAAGGGCCCACGGUCCAGCAAGGAUCCCGUCUUGAACAUGGCGAGCCCAAGCCACUACGUAUAGCUUCCAGCGGCGCCGAGACGUGAGUCGCGGCGCUGCUCGUCCAAGUUCCACCGACCAAGACCAAUCAAGAUCCAAGGCCAUUGUGGAUCAGCAAAAAUAUGAUAAAUAGUUGAGCGAGAUGAUGAGCAUAGCAGCGGCAUUAGGCCGCGUCGAGUUGGUUGAUCUAGUAGUUCGCGAUCGAAGUUUCCGGACUUGCUCGAUGUUUCUAGUGGCGCCCCGGGCUAGCCUAGAAUGUUCGAAGAAGUUGUUUAGCACACCCACCAUCGAGCGACGUUUUGGGUAGUUGACGAGGUCGGUUGAAGGUGUGGCACGCCCGCCACCGGAAGUAGUUACCUAGCGAUAUAUAGGGGCCUGACGCACAUUCCAGGUCGACUCCCACAGCUGCACAGCACCUAGCGUUGCCUGAGGAAGCCUAAGACUACGACCAAGCAGCCAGAGACGCUAGCGGUAGCCGCCCCGCUCACAACUAGGUCGCACCAAGCCUGUGCUUAGCUGGCUCCUUGCCUGAACAUUCGUGGCCAACUCUGACUCCACAGCCUGGUUGCAUCAAGGCACCAGGGCUCGUUUGGCGUGUGCUGUGUCUUGCGGUCACAACCCGUGGCUGACGGCAGCAUACUUGUAACGGUUGAGUGCAAAUUCCCCUUCGCGGGCUGCCCCUUCCCCUUCCCCUGCGACCGACGCGUGCGGACCGGACUGGACCUAAGCCCUUCGCCAUAGUGCGCGGCCUCUAGUGUGUCAGGCUUCCCCCGUCACCCCGGCGCCUACAGUCUCCC
rnacentral:lncRNA from 1 species